GAGUUUGAUCAUGGCUCAGAUUGAACGCUAGCGGGAUGCCUUACACAUGCAAGUCGAACGGCAGCACGGACUUCGGUCUGGUGGCGAGUGGCGAACGGGUGAGUAAUGUAUCGGAACGUGCCCAGUAGCGGGGGAUAACUACUCGAGAGAGUAGCUAAUACCGCAUACGCCCUACGGGGGAAAGGGGGGGAUCGCAAGACCUCUCACUAUUGGAGCGGCCGAUAUCGGAUUAGCUAGUUGGUGGGGUAAAGGCCUACCAAGGCGACGAUCCGUAGCUGGUUUGAGAGGACGACCAGCCACACUGGGACUGAGACACGGCCCAGACUCCUACGGGAGGCAGCAGUGGGGAAUUUUGGACAAUGGGGGAAACCCUGAUCCAGCCAUCCCGCGUGUGCGAUGAAGGCCUUCGGGUUGUAAAGCACUUUUGGCAGGAAAGAAAUCGCACGGGCUAAUAACCCGUGUGGAUGACGGUACCUGCAGAAUAAGCACCGGCUAACUACGUGCCAGCAGCCGCGGUAAUACGUAGGGUGCAAGCGUUAAUCGGAAUUACUGGGCGUAAAGCGUGCGCAGGCGGUUCGG
rnacentral:rRNA from 1 species